AGUUAACGUUGGCGGCGUGCCUAACACAUGCAAGUCGAACGCGUCCUAAGGGCAACUUUAGGAUGAGUGGCGAACGGGUGAGUAUCACGUGGGUAAUCUUCCUUUAAGUGGGGAAUAAGCUCUCGAAAGGGAGUCUAAUACCGCAUGACAUUCCGGGACACAAGUCCCGUAAUCAAAGCCGCAAGGCGCUUGAAGAUGAGCCUGCGUCCUAUUAGCUAGUUGGUGGGGUAACGGCCUACCAAGGCUCAGAUGGGUAGCCGGCCUGAGAGGGUGAACGGCCACACUGGGACUGAGACACGGCCCAGACUCCUACGGGAGGCAGCAGUGAGGAAUUUUGCGCAAUGGGGGAAACCCUGACGCAGCGACGCCGCGUGGAGGAUGAAGGCCUUCGGGUCGUAAACUCCUGUCAGAGGUGAAGAAUACCCGCAAGGGUUUGACGGUAACCUCAGAGGAAGCCCCGGCUAACUACGUGCCAGCAGCCGCGGUAAGAGUCACGUCG
rnacentral:rRNA from 1 species